GGAAUAUUGGACAAUGGGCGUAAGCCUGAUCCAGCCAUGCCGCGUGAGUGAUGAAGGCCCUAGGGUUGUAAAGCUCUUUCGGCGGGGACGAUAAUGACGGUACCCGCAGAAGAAGCCCCCGCUAACUUCGUGCCAGCAGCCGCGGUAAUACGAAGGGGGCUAGCGUUGUUCGGAAUCACUGGGCGUAAAGGGCGCGUAGGCGGCCGAUCAAGUCGGGGGUGAAAGCCUGUGGCUCAACCACAGAAUUGCCUUCGAUACUGUUUGGCUUGAGACCGGAAGAGGUGAGUGGAACUGCGAGUGUAGAGGUGAAAUUCGUAGAUAUUCGCAAGAACACCAGUGGCGAAGGCGGCUCACUGGUCCGGUUCUGACGCUGAGGCGCGAAAGCGUGGGGAGCAAAC
rnacentral:rRNA from 1 species